rnacentral:rRNA from 1 species
GAUGAACGCUGGCGGCGUGCUUAACACAUGCAAGUCGAACGAAGCACCUUGAUUCGAUUCUUCGGAUGAAGAUCUUGGUGACUGAGUGGCGGACGGGUGAGUAACGCGUGGGUAACCUGCCUCAUACAGGGGGAUAACAGUUAGAAAUGACUGCUAAUACCGCAUAAGACCACAGCACCGCAUGGUGCAGGGGUAAAAACUCCGGUGGUAUGAGAUGGACCCGCGUCUGAUUAGGUAGUUGGUGGGGUAACGGCCUACCAAGCCGACGAUCAGUAGCCGACCUGAGAGGGUGACCGGCCACAUUGGGACUGAGACACGGCCCAAACUCCUACGGGAGGCAGCAGUGGGGAAUAUUGCACAAUGGGGGAAACCCUGAUGCAGCGACGCCGCGUGAGCGAUGAAGUAUUUCGGUAUGUAAAGCUCUAUCAGUAGGGAAGAAAAUGACGGUACCUGACUAAGAAGCACCGGCUAAAUACGUG